rnacentral:rRNA from 1 species
CACGUAGGGGGCGAGCGUUGUCCGGAUUUAUUGGGCGUAAAGAGCUCGUAGGCGGCUCAGUAAGUCAGGUGUGAAAACUCCAGGCUCAACCUGGAGACGCCACCUGAUACUGCUGUGGCUAGAGUCCGGUAGGGGAGCAUGGAAUUCCUGGUGAUAGCGGUGAAAUGCGCAGAUAUCAGGAGGAACACCGGUGGCGAAGGCGGAUCUCUGGGCCUUACCUGACGCUGGAGGCGACGAAAGCCUAGGGGAGCAAACAGG